CUGCAUUGUUGUCUCAUAUUAGGUGCAUAAUUUUCUUACAUUGCAGAGAGACAGAAUCGUGCUUCUGUCGUGGUGAAGGCUACUGGGGAAAGCUCGGAGUCUUCGAACUCCCUUAGUAUUGUAAAAUCUGUUCAGAAUGUCUGGGAUAACUCGGAAGAUCGGCCAGGUCUUGUUGGUUUGGGGUUUGCAGCUAUAGUUGCAUUUUGGGCAUCAUCGAAUCUGAUUACAGUAAUUUCUGGAUCUCUCUCUUCUUUACGUUGUUAACAGGAAAUGAUUUACUCAAAUAAAACAAGAGUCGUUGCAACUGUAGAUAGGAUCGAUCUUAUAUGUACUAAUACCGACUAGAAUCAUCUGGUUUCUUCACUGACCCAUUUUUCAGAUACCUUGGGGUGGUGUUGAGAAAUCAACUUCAAA